rnacentral:rRNA from 1 species
GACGAACGCUGGCGGCGUGCUUAACACAUGCAAGUGGAGCGACGAACCAGGCUUCGGCCUGGGGCAAAGCCGCGAACGGGUGAGUAACACGUGGGUAACCUGCCCCGAUGACCGGGACAACCCGAGGAAACUCGGGCUAAUACCGGAUGAGCUGCCCUCACAUCAGUGAGGGUCGGAAAGGAAGCUUCGGCCUCCGCAUCGGGAUGGGCCCG